GCCUCGGUGGUGCAAUGUUAGCACUCGCCCCGGUAUGGGUGGAACGCGGGUUCAAUUCCCAUCUGAGGUCA